rnacentral:rRNA from 1 species
AGAAUCAACGCUGGCGGCGUGCCUAACACAUGCAAGUCGAACGAGAAAGUGGAGCAAUCCAUGAGUAAAGUGGCGCACGGGUGAGUAACACGUGACUAACCUACCCUGGAGUGGGGGAUAACUGAGGGAAACCUUAGCUAAUACCGCAUAAUACCUACGGGUCAAAGGAGCAAUUCGCUUCAGGAGGGGGUCGCGGCCGAUUAGUUAGUUGGCGGGGUAAUGGCCCACCAAGACAGUGAUCGGUAUCCGGCCUGAGAGGGCGCACGGACACACUGGAACUGAAACACGGUCCAGACUCCUACGGGAGGCAGCAGUGGGAAUUUUACGCAAUGGGGGAAACCCUGACGCAGCAACGCCGCGUGGAGGAUGAAGUCCUUCGGGACGUAAACUCCUUUCGAUCGGGACGAUUAUGACGGUACCGGAAGAAGAAGCCCCGGCUAACUACGCGCCAGCAGCCGC